AGCGGCCACCAAAGGGGUCCUAGUUGAGUUGAGUUCUCGCCGCAGAAGUGAAAGUUCGCAGACAGACAAAUGCGUCUGUGAUGGAUCAAGCAAUGAUGAGUUGGAUUCCACCAAGUAAGUGUGGAACAGCCAUCUGAUUCGUCCAUCCAAGAACGAGCGGGUGCCUCAUGGUCGGCCUCAUGCAAUGUUCAUGGUACCUGAGCUGUAUGGCACCCAGGACUUUUUGUGCCAAGUUGGUGAGGAGGACUUUAUGAGGUGUGAAGAUGACUGCAUCCACCGCAAUGAUGAUGCUGAUGUGUUCACUCUCUGUACACAUAUAAUGGCACAGAACAACCUUCAAGUCCCAGUCGAUGGAUAUAUGGCCAUGGACAACUACCUCUACUUGAGAGAGGAGCUCAUUUCACUUUUAGGCCUUAGUAGAUAAAGGUGUAAAGGGUUUUAAAGUCUUAUACAAUUUCUAACAUGUCAUAUCACCCAACCAAUGUAUGUACCUCUUAACUCCUAAUGACAUGCAUGCAUCCUCUCUUCUGGAUGGUACAACACCUGAUUUGCCUCUGUAAUCCAGCAACCAGAAUGUAAAACCCCUAGCAUAUUUUGAAUCCACUUGAUCAUUUAAAAAAGCAGGUGGACAUCCCAGAUCCAGAAAGUAAAAAUAUAAUGGGUCUAACCAUUUAUUAUACCAACUGAAUUUAAUCACCACAAUAUCUCAACAGGGUAGAUGAGUUCUCAACUGGCAUUCUGUGAAAUUCUUGAGAUGCUCAGAUGGAUCCAAAUUAUGGGAGGGUUUUUAUUUCCCGGACCUGGAUUGUACAGUUCUCUGCCCCACCAAGCCUCUUCAGAAUCAGAAUCAGAAUCAUCUUUAUUUGCCAAGUAUGUCCAAAACACACAAGGAAUUUGUCUCCGGUAGUUGGAGCCGCUCUAGUACAACAGACAGUCAAUUUACAGAACACUUUGACAUCUGUGGUCAUGAAGUCCUUUGAACGUCUUGUGCUGGACCACCUCAAGAGUGUCACAGGUCCCCUGCUGGACCCCCUGCAGUUUGCCUACCAAGCGAACAGAUCUGCGGAUGAUGCAGUCAACAUGGGACUGCACUUCAUCCUAGAACACCUCGACAGUGCAGGGACCUAUGCGAGGAUCCUGUUCGUGGACUUCAGCUCAGCGUUCAACACCAUCAUCCCUGAACUCCUUUCAUCCAAGCUUCUCCAGCUCAGCGUCUCACCUGCCAUCUGCCAGUGGAUUUACAGCUUUCUGACGGGCAGGACACAGCAGGUCAGGCUGGGGGAGGCCACCUCAUCCACACGCAGCAUCAGCACUGGGGCGCCCCAAGGUUGUGUCCUCUCUCCGCUGCUCUUCUCUCUCUACACGAACGACUGCACCUCAGCGAACCCGACUGUCAAACUCCUUCCUCAUUACUCCACUAUUGAGCCUCCACCUCAUUUCACCAUUUAUGAGCCUCCUCUUCAUUUGACCUUCGAUGGACAAGCUCCUCAAUCUUCCGCCAAACAAGCGUUCUUUUCAUGCCUCAUUUGACCGGCAUCCACUGAUGGAAUUCAGACCCUUUUUUGAAUUGUUCAGAAAAAAAGGUACCUGGACAGACAGCUGUCUUCAGCCAUGAAAAUUUCUUUCAGCUCUUCUGGUUUGUGAAAUGUUUUGUUGUUGCAGUUAAUUUCACAGCAUACUUUUCAUUGUAUAUAUUCUAUUACAUCAUUAUUAUGUGUAUUUGCCUUGAUAUUGCCACUCAAAUUGCUGAUGUAUACACAUUUUUGUGAUCAACAUAUGUAGCUAUAAACCUCAAUCAGGCAUGUAGUGAGUAAUUCAGACAACGUCACAAUCAGGCGGCACGGUGGCCGACUGGUUAGAGCGUCAGCCUCACAGGUCUGAGGACCCGGGUUCAAUCCCCGGCCCCGCCUGUGUGGAGUUUGCAUGUUCUCCCCGUGCCUGCGUGGGUUUUCUCUGGGCACUCCGGUUUCCUCCCACAUCCCAAAAACAUGCAUUAAUUGGAGACUCUAAAAUUGCCCAUAGGUGUGACUGUGAGUGCGAAUGGUUGUUUGUUUGUAUGUGCCCUGCGAUUGGCUGGCAACCAGUUCAGGGUGUACCCCGCCUCCUCCCCGAUGACAGCUGGGAUAGGCUCAGGCUAGUGAGGAGAAGCGGCUCAGAAAAUGGAUGGAUGUCACAAUCAGUAAUUGUUAAUGAAAGCAACAUUUAAGUUUGUUGCUAUAAAUGUGUGUGGUAAUUAAAAUAAGUUUAAAGAAUAAAACCAACUGUCUUCUACUGGUUCAGGUAGCUAAACCAGCUGGAGUUCGAACUGUAUUUUGACCCUUAGGUUAUCCUCAGUAUACUGCACAUUUCUGGGAGGAUGGCGCAAUGACCAAGUGAAACGAGGUGGUCAAAUUUACGUUAAUGCACGGUGGCAAAUCAGGCGGUAACAAGGUGACGAACUUAAAGCUGCAGACUGUAGACAAUAUCGACAUAGCCUGUGUGAAAUGAGUGAAUUUGGCUUUCUCCACACAGAAAAAAAUUUCAGAUUGGAAUAUUUGCAGACUUUAUUUUUAUACAAUCCGUGUACAACAAGGCACCAUGGUAGUGCAACAAACAGUAUUACCCUGAAACCUGCUUUAUGAAAAUAUGCAUAGUACAUUGCAUAAAAACUUGCAGUAAGAGCGGUUUUAUAAAGGGAGGGGAAAAAACUACUUAAAACUUGCAUGACAAUACCAGUUAAAGUUGUGUGUAACCACACCAAAAGGGCUUCUUUUGUCAAAAACAAUGUGCAAAUGUAAUGUAAACAAUGUCAACUCAGUGUAAACAAGUAGUCACUCUGGCUGGUAUGAAUAGAGUCAUUGCAUGGACAGCGUAGCAAUCAAUCUGAGGAAAAAAGAAGAACAUUUGUAAUUCAACAAGAAGCUGUAGCAAUACCUAAAUAGCAUGAUCAUCAAUAAUUCUGAAACAUAAUGAGUUAAAAGUCUACAGAGUAAAACAUGUUUGUUACAGCCAGGUAGAUAAAUGAUUGACAAUAACAGAGCUCUUUUUUUCUGAUCUAGCUGCCAGCAGCUACUGUAUGAAACAGCUGAUCAACAUUUCCCACUGUUCACAUUGCAAGAUUGCAUUGCCAUAUAGCACACUGUAUAUAACCCAUACCUAAUGUACAUUGUAGUUCACAUGACUGCCUUGCCACACACUUACAUUGAUUACAGAGAUAUUCACAAACGAGGUCAUUGGUGCAUGCACUCAAUUACUACAGUUAGGCUAUUUAUUUAAUGUAAAAUAGUUUAUGUACUUCUUGAUUUACACUGUGUACUAGAUUCACUACCUGGCAAAAAUAAUUUGUGUGCAAACUCACUUCGCCACAUAAACCCUGAUUACUGAGACUGAUAUUGCACAUUUACAAACUCAAAUAUCAACCAUAUCACACUACACGUAUAUGAAGCAAAAACAUUUUCUUGAAUAUACAUCUCGAUGAAAUGACAAAUGUUUACAAGGGGAUACAUACCUUCUCUUCAAUAAAGGUGGCAAUGACAUCA